rnacentral:rRNA from 1 species
CAAUAGCGUAUAUUUAAGUUGUUGCAGUUAAAAAGCUCGUAGUUGGAUUUCGGGUGGGACGCAGCGGUCUCGCAUUGCGUUUGUACUGCUGCAGCCCUCCUUCUUGCCGGGGGCGGCCUCUCGGACUUCACUGUCUGGGGGUCAGAAUCGGCGAUGUUACUUUGAGUAAAUUAGAGUGUUCAAAGCAAGCUUACGCUCUGAAUAUAAUAGCAUGGGAUAACACGACAGGACUCUGGCCUAUCGUAUUGGUCUAUAGGACCAGAGUAAUGAUUAAGAGGGACAGUCGGGGGCAUUCGUAUUCCGUUGUCAGAGGUGAAAUUCUUGGAUUUACGGAAGACGAACAUCUGCGAAAGCAUUUGCCAAGGAUGUUUUCAUUGA